AUGGCUCAAGGAGAGCCAAUCACUGUCAACGUAUGUCAGAUCUGAAAUUUUGCUGGCGCUACGGUGGGGAACGACUCCUUCCGCCAGGGUAGCUCAGCUGGUGGAAGCACGUAAGUGAAGCUGCUGAGGGCUGUGUUUGCCACCAAGAGCGGCUAGCCUGCCUGAAGAUGAAGCCAACCCAGGGAAGUGUAGCUCAGAAGUGGUAAGAGAUGGAUUCUUGGCAGUAUUCCGUGAGCCAGCUAUGCCUGAGGCCCCAAGGCUUCUCUGGCACGUUUUGUUCUCUCUCCCUCUGCAAGGGCAGAGAUUUUGGCCUCUUUUUACAAGACUCUGUGCCCUGGUCAUAGACUGGUACCUCGUAGGCACUCCCUUUAUCUCCCUCCAGCUGUCGGCUUCCUUCUGUGGCUCUCUAAGGAGGGGGAGAUGUGGCUGUCGGCUGUUCCAGAUUUACUUCCUGCCAGUUGAGCAGAAAGAAAACUUCUCUGCCUCAGCAUUUCAGACGGUUCGGUGAGUUUUGACGAACACGGGUAGCCAUGGAAUCACCGCGACAAUCAAGCUGCAAGGCAGCGUGUCACCCCCAGACUCCACUGCGCCGUCUGGAGCCACCCCCUCGUCCUGCUCCUGGGCAGCCACGGAGCUGAGUUCUGUCGCUACAGCUCUUCCCUGUCUCUGAACGCUGCAGAAGGGGAAUCGCAGAGGACGCAGCAUCGUGAGUCUGGUUUCCCCGGCUGGAAUUCCGGAUUCGUCUUGUCGUCGUGCACACCUUCCAUUUUAUGGCACAACGGUGCCCGGUUGUACAGCUGCGUCUCUUUGUUCAUUCGUUUCCCAGUUGAGGGAUGUUUGGGUUGUGUCCAGGUUUGGGCCACUAGCAAUAAAGCUUCCAUAAACA